rnacentral:rRNA from 1 species
GGCCCCGCCUGCCCAGUGACUUAGUGUUCAACGGCCGCGGUAUUUUGACCGUGCGAAGGUAGCGCAAUAACUUGUCCUUUAAUUGGGGACUAGUAUGAAUGGCAUCACGAGGGCUUAGCUGUCUCCUUUUUUAGGUCAAUGAAAUUGAUCUCCCCGUGCAAAAGCGGGGAUACAAACAUAAGACGAGAAGACCCUAUGGAGCUUUAGACACUAAGACAGACCACGUUAAUUGUAUCCUCAUACGGAGCCGAACUAAAAGGUUCCUGCUCUGAUGUCUUUGGUUGGGGCGACCGCGGAGAAUAAAAAAACCUCCCCUCCGCGCGGAAUGGGAGCACAAGUCCAAAGCUCCUACAACCAAGAGCCACAGCUCGAACUAACAGAAAUAUCUGACCUUCAUGAUCCGGCCUAGACGCCGAUCAUCGAACCGAGUUACCCUAGGGAUAACAGCGCAAUCCCCUUUCAGAGCCCAUAUCGACAAGGGGGUUUACGACCUCGAUGUUGGAUCAGGACAUCCUAAUGGUGCAGCCGCUAUUAAGGGUUCGU